UGGGAUUGUGGUAUUUUACUGUUAGACAAGGCCUUUUACCAUUAUAUAACGUCCCUCUUUGUCUCGCUGUUGCUUUAAAAUUUGUUUUGUCUGACAUAAGAGUAGCUACCCCUGCUUGCUUGUGGUGUCCAUUUGCAUGAAAUGCCUUUUUCCACCCCUUUACUUUAAGUUUUUAUGAGUCCUUAUGUGUUAAGUGAGUCAAAAUGUGAGGUAGGGUUGCAUUCAUCAUGCUCUUUGUUGCCUGCAUACUUUGUUUUUUGUUCUUGCUUUUUAACUUCUAUUUUUUUAUAGGUCCUGUGUGCUUUACGCUUUAAAGAUAUUCUGUCUUGAUGUGUUUCCAGGAUUUGUUUCAAGAUUUAGAGCUCCUUUUUGAAGUUCUUACAGUGGUGGCUUGGUAAUGGCAAGUUCUCUCUGCAUUUGUUUGUCUGAAAAUGACUAUCUUUUCCUCAUAUAUGAUGCUUACUUUCACUGGAUACAAAAUUCUUGGCUGAAGAUUGUUUUGUUUGAGGAGGUUGAAUAUAGGGCCCCAAUCCCUUCUAACUUGUAAGGUUUCUGCUGAGAUUUCUGCUGUUAAUCUGGUAGGUUUUCCUUUAUAGGUUACCUGGUGCUUCUGUCUCACCGCUCUUAAGAUUUUUUCCUUCCUCUUAACUUUGGAUAACCUGAUGAAAAUGUGCCUAGAUGAAGAUCUUUUGAGGAUGAAUUUCCGAGGUGUUCUUUGUGCUUCUUGUAUAUGCAUGUCUAGGUCUCUAGCAAGGCCAGGGAAGUUUGCCUUGAUUAUUCCCCCAAAUAUGUUUUCCAAGCUUUUAGAAUUGUCUUCUUCCUCAAGAACACCGAUUAUUCUUGGGUUU
rnacentral:lncRNA from 1 species